rnacentral:pre_miRNA from 1 species
AGUGGAAUAGCUGGGUCAAAUGGUGGUUCCAUUCCAAGGAAUCUCCAUACUACUUCCCAGACUAGUUGCACCAAUUUACAAUCCCACCAGCAAU